rnacentral:rRNA from 1 species
AACGAACGCUGGCGGCAUGCCUAACACAUGCAAGUCGAACGAGACCUUCGGGUCUAUUGGCGCACGGGUGCGUAAGGCGAGUUAACCGGCCCUUAGAGUCGGAAGAACGGCCCGAAAGGGGUGCUAAUACCGGUUAAGGUGCCCACACCAAAGAUCUAUCGCCCUUGGAUGGGCCCGCGUUGUAUUAGCUAGUUGGUAGGGUAAAAGCCUACCAAGGCGACGAUCCAUAGCUGGUCUGAGAGGAUGCUCAGCCACACUGGGACUGAGACACGGCCCAGACUCCUACGGGAGGCAGCAGUGGGGAAUAUUGGACAAUGGGCGAAAGCCUGAUCCAGCAAUGCCGCGUGAGUGAUGAAGGCCUUAGGGUUGUAAAGCUCUUUUACCCGGGAUGAUAAUGACAGUACCGGGAGAAUAAGCUCCGGCUAACUCCGUG